rnacentral:snoRNA from 1 species
GGUCGGUGAUGAUUGGUAAAAGGUCUGAUUGCACUUAAUGUCACAGUCCUUUCCUUGUCCUCAGCUCCCAGCAGCCCAUUCUUUCCCUCCUAUCACGUUUAAGUCGUGUGUAUGGGAUAAUGGAGCGGCUGACAAUUUGGAAUUCUGUCAGGGUGUGUUUCUGAGAGCAAAAGAUUCACAGCUGACAAGUAUCCAACAGAACCGUUCACACAGGAGGUUUGUGAGGGCCAGGCAUGGGUGUGACGGUGCAUGAUCUCAAGUUUUCAAUCUGAGACC